CCCUUAGAUGUUCUGGGUCGCACGCGCGCUACAAUGAUGAAUUCAACGAGUUUAUAACCUUGGUUGAAAAGCCUGGGUAAUCUUUUGAACUUUCGUCGUGAUGGGGCUAGACCCUUGCAAUUAUUGGUCUCCAACGAGGAAUUCCUAGUAAACGCAAGUCAUCAGCUUGCAUUGAUUACGUCCCUGCCCUUUGUACACACCGCCCGUCGCACCUACCGAUUGAAUGGUCCGGUGAAAUCUUCGGAUUGAGACUUUGAUUUCUUCACGGAAAACGCUGUUUUAAGAAGUUGAUUAAACCUUACCAUUUAGAGGAAGGUGAAGUCGUAACA
rnacentral:rRNA from 1 species